GAAAGGAGGGAUGUUAAUCUAGGGUGGAGUGGGUAAAAGCUUAAAGAAAUAUGAUGAAAAGUAAUCCAGUGCUCAACAAGGGCAUCAGCAGCAAGAAUCCAGCCUCUGCUGCUCCAGAGGAUUAAGAUGGGGAAAGCCACAGAACUGCAGUCGAGUUGCACCUCAGCGUUGUUCUGGAGAUGGAUAAACAAGGACAUGAUGUGGCCUGCUGCUACUUUCUGCUUGCCUGAUUGCCUGCUAAAGUCCAUUCCUCUUGGCACUGCUUACACCAGCUCCAGCUGCUCCACGUUGCUUUACAGUAUCAACAUCUACCUCCUCAAAUUUGGAAGACUGGUCACCCUUUGUAGUACUGCUGUGUGGAUGAAUCUUAAUCUUCUUGAAAGUAGGAUAUUAAAGAUGAGAUAAGCCCUGGUAUCUAGAAGUAGUAUAUACUGCAGUCCUAUGAGACACAUAGAUAGAUAGCCAGAUAUAAUCUUUCUCCACUGGAUAUCUUGUCCUUAGAACUAUUACCCUGGAAACACUCCUUAAUAUUUCAAAUCACAUACCCCUUUUCUUAGGUAUAUUCUAUUUAUCAGACAUAGCCUAGCUACAGAAUGGCCA
rnacentral:lncRNA from 1 species